ACAGGCAGGUUUUAGUGUUGCCAGGAGAACCUGUAAACUCUGCGUUUCCAUGACAACAAUAUGAAUAUAAAGAUGCUCAUUGGAGACUGAUUCAAAAAACAUCUGAAAGCAUCAUGUCAUGUCUUGGUAAGCUGAUAUCAAAGGAGAAAAUAUAAGGUCACAUCCAGUUCUGGUUGGACACCUCAAGGACCAAAGACAUCACAGCAUCCCUGGUCCAGCUCCACACACAAACAAGAAAGUCACCACAUCACACCCCAAACUUCCAUAAAAGCACAGUUUUUGCCUUUUUCUCUGGUAAAAAUUUUGUGGCACAACAAACGGGUUAUAUUUAAAAAUGUAUUAAAUCAAAUUCAAGCGGGAA